UUAGGUCAAAGGAAGUUAAACAACUUGCCCAAGGCCACAGGACUGGUAAAUGAUUAAGACGGAAUUCAGCUCCAGGUUGAAUUCAGAGCCCAUGCAUUUCUGCCUCUAACAGUCUCCCAUUUUGUCAACAGUAAUAUUAAAUAGUACUAAAUCUGAGUACAGCACACAACUCUGGAUUUCAUCACUUAAAGGCAAGAAGUUUAGGAACAUCUUGUGACUUGCUUCUACUUCUGUUCUUGCAUUUUCAUCACCGAAGUGACAAACAGGAUCCCCAUCAGGACAGUGCUCGCAUCUGGUUGAGAAGACUGACCACGCGGCAAAUAAACAGAGAGAACGUACACCCGUGCUGGCUGCUAGGUUGUGCGGUGACCCACGCAGAGAGGAACUGAGAGCCACAAUCAACAGCUGGCAUCAACUUGCCAGACAUAUGAGUGAACCAAGUAGAUCCUUCAUCCCUAGUCACACCUCCAGUCACGACGGCAGCUUCAUCCCGUGUCUUCACAGCAGACCUUGAGCCAGAACCACUCCACCAAGCAGCUUUCAGAAAUGAUUUGCUUUGUGUCAGGAUUCAAGAGGAAAGAAGGAAAUAUGGGGAAUGACAAGCAUACACAAUUCUAGAGCUUUAAGAAGCAAAAGUAGGUCCAGGAGGUGACCAGGUUUCCGGAAGAGACUGGUCCCAAGUGGGAGGCCACCAGGGAGAAGCCAGACUCCAGCAGCCGCAGGGGGAAGUGAAAACUGUAGCCUCUGAACAUCAAGAACGUGGCCCUUCACUGAAUGAUCUACUCUGAAACCAUAUAAGAAGGAAAAGCUGAGGAAUGAGUUCCAGAAUUUUUUCCUAUGAAACGCCGGACAACAAUGAACCAGAAGGCUGCUGAGUUGACAGAAGAGAAUUCAAUUGUUUUCAAACAUCUAUCUCGAACCUGAGCUUUUCUUUUAAAAACCUGUGUUGUCCUGACUCUGCCACGAUAAUCUCAAACUUUGAGUCCAAAACAAAAUCUUCUUUACAACAUUUCUGCUUUCUAGUUUUCCCUUCUGUCUCUGGGGCUGUAUUAUGACGAAUCUCUCUGACUUACAAAUCAGAGAUCAAAUUUUAUUUCCUUGUCAUCAUCUGGGAGCCUCAUUGUUUUCUACCUUCCAAUGGCUGGUUUCUUUCUCGCCAACCGAGCUGCAACAUGGUACUUCAAGUUGUCAUCACCAGUUCCUUACACUGUUACAUUCAGUUCUCUCUGCCUGCAAGUGUUUGCUUUCUUCAGCCUCUUGUGCAUGCUAUGCAAAUGUAAACUUCAAAAAUAAAGCCCUGCUGCUAAAAACCCACGUGGGGCUCUCCAUGGCCUCUGAAUAAAGUCCAAAAUUCAUAUGAGGACCUCCACUCUCUGACCCUGCCCUACCUUCUCUGGUCAUAACGGGCUCCUUCCUGCUGUGAACAUACACUCCGUUAAUGCCCGUCUUUUCUGACUUAUUCAUAAUGAUCCUAACCUGAAAUAUGCUUCUCAUUUUUUUCUCAUUAAAAUCAGCCCCACCACGAGUACAAUUUUCCCAUGAUGUGCCAAAACUUCAGCCUGCUUUUAUGUCUUGCUUUCUCUGAAAUCCUAUAUCUGUACCACGUACUUCUGCAUUUAGCCUCAUAUAAAUUUUCAGUGGUGUUGAUUCUCUUCGCACGUUAAUGAGUCCCUUCAGCUGCCAGAAACGGUACCAAGUGCUGGUUAACUCUUCCAUGUCCAUUUGUCUGAUCUCUCCAAUGACACUGGGAGUUUCUCAAAGCAGGGAUUAUAGUUUUUUGUGGGUUUUUUUGGUUUUUUUUUUUUCUGAUCUUCCCAGGGUCCAGCCCAUCCUGUUCUACAGAGCAGAUGUUCAACGAAUCUUACUAAAUUGAAUUGAAUUGGUCUCAAACUUGGCAAGAGAAAAUAAGAUGAAUUCCAAGGAAAACUAGGAAAAGUAGAAGGGAAUUAGGAACCAUCAUUAGAAAUCUGAUUGUCAGAUUGAUUCAUAUUGAACCUUAAGCAGAAUAAUAACACAUUAUACCUUCAUCACAGCAAUUUUCUCCUCCAAUUUUGCCAGAGCACAGCUUUCCAGAGGGGAAUAGGUUUUUAAGCUAUGCACGUGUGAAGAACUUAACAACACAAGGGCAGUUAAAUUCUCACACACUUCAUCCAUAAUACAUAAAAGGUAAUAGUCCGACGCUUAGUUUUAAUUCUGGAAAAUACAACUUUUUUUCCCUUUAAAUGUUCUAGUUUCAGGAACCUGCCCUUUGACAAGCAUCUAGCAAUGAAUUAUAAAACAAAGGGAACUUUCUCCCGCUCCAGUAAAUAACAGAUGCCUUCCAUCUUUCUUACUAGAUCAAUCAAAG